GAUUUAUUUGGUGGUCCUUUGGAGACCCAGGAGUUGGACUAGAUGAUCCUUGUGGGUCUCUUCCAACUUGGGAUAUUCUAUGAUUUUAUGUUUCCCUAGUUUUCCCUUUUAUAUAUUGCUUCCUUCCAUAUGUAGACUACGAGUAAAUGUGAGCAGAGAACCACAAACUCCAUGAGCCCAGUGUUUUGGAGCACGCAUGAAAGUUGGGUUGGUAAGGUCCUGUCUAAUGCCCAGUACAAAGUCAUGCUUCGUGACCUGCAGUUUCAGGAACGACAGCUCUGUUUUAAUUCCUUCAGUACAUGUUUAUGACUCACUGGGUCAUCUGUGUUUUGAAUGUAGCAGAUUCUGUUGUGUGGGUACAUAUGUAAGUGGUGUAUAUGUAAGUGCGAAAAAGCUAGGGUUGAAUAUCUGACUACUAGUACUUCUCAUUUCCAUAAAUUAGAGGUGACAAUGGUAGCCUAACCUGAAGCUAAAAAUGCAGUAAAUACGGGAUGGUGGGAUUAGGAGCUUUCUACACAACUCAUUGUAGAAAUAGUGAAGAGUUUUUGCACAACCAAAUGCUUGUUGCUAGUAUGAAGCAGAGUGCUAUCUUCUAGCUGAAUUGCAAAUUCAAAACUGGCUAUGAAUGACCAAGGGAAUGAUAAAACUUUCUUUAACCAGACAGGUCAAAACAUGCAAAUCCUUUAUCUUUGUCUCCGGUAAAAAUGCUCCUCUGGUUCAAUUGUCACUUAAAUGAGUAUAAAUCAGGAAUAGCUCAUGUAAAUCCUACAUCUGUGCUGCACCUUCUGGUAAGUCUCAUGGGCUUGACAGUGAUGUGAUCUAAUUUAAAGUGUCAUUGAGGAUUUAUUCAAAAUGAGUUUUACAAGAGUACUCUGCAACAUUUCUCUAUUUGAAAGGAGAAAGUAGGUUAAAGGAAAGAUAAUUUACAAGGAAAAGUCAAGGCAAGAAUAAUCAGCAUGAGGGCCUGGUUAGACACAUGGCAAUGUUUAAUCCUUACUCUUACUAAUCCUUCAGGCCAGGAUUGCAAAAAUGAGAGUUUUUAUUUUCUUUCUCAUGUAUUACCAACUGCUUAGAGGACAGAGCAGCCCCAGUCUCCUUAUUUUGCGUCAGGUUAAUAGGAACAGUGUAAAGGACAAGAUGCAGCACAUGUUAAAGUAUAUGCCUAUGGGCUACAUACCUCAUUCAACUGGAAAACUACUGCCUUAUAAAUCUAAGUAACCAAGAAGAAUGAAACCAGAGCCUGAUGGUGCCCAGUAACAUGGCCAAGAGUCAGUCAUAACGACCAGGCAUAUGGGCAGCCAAGUGAAUAAUGCUGCCAGAAGGGAUGUCUGCAGUGCAGCAGUUGGGAAAUGCUUAUUAAAGGUCCUAACAUGGCUGCAUGCCCCUGAGAAGUCAUUUCUGUUCAAAGAGGCAUCUUUCCAGACUGCUGGUGAGUUUCUAUAUGUAUUUUCAUACUUGUGCAUUUUGGAAGUGUUUAGCUGAAACUGACUUGUUCUUCCUAUCAAUAUCUGAUGCCUCCUAUCAAACCCAUCAUUUCAAUUUAUUAUCACCCUACUGGGAAGCUUCAACAAAAAUGUCUGGAAACCUCCCCUCCUGCAUCAUUUCCUGAGCAAUUCGAUCAGCUUAGGAGGAAAGGCUUAAAGCCAAAAGCUAGAAAUUGCUGAAGGACAAAGAUCCUCACUCUCCCUGCCUGUUUGAACUUGAGUACUGAUCUGUGUGGCAGCAGGACUUGGGGUUCCUUGCAAGGUCCCUUCAACCCUUCAGUUUGUUCCUGAUAAAUAUCUUGACACCGAGAAAGGUGCUAACAGGUUUGUGUGUGUUUUUAUUUAGAAGUCAUUCUUUCUGAGCUCGAUUUGGAAGAAGCGAAAGUCUCUGUAACUGCCACCUGAAUAUUUCAGGUCUGAUUCUGCUGCCUUGUCUUUCUUGCUCAGGGUAAUUAUAAGCUGCCCCGUAGCCACGAAAGAACUUGAGCUUCUUGCUGAAAUCGCACCCAGCCAUUUCUUUCCACAAGGCGAGGGAGAAAGGAGGUCUGCAAGAGUUCACAUUAAUAAUGACUUAAAUGCCCAUUUCCCACACAUCUUUGCUAGCACAAACAACUAAAAUAGUCCACUUGCAAAGAACCUGAUUCAGCUUUCUUGCAUUCCACAAUAACAGAUGGAUUGCUAGACUGUUUACUGUUGCUUCCCACAAACUUCCUGUUAGUAAACUCCUGUAUUAUUUAUGAAACAGAAAAAUUACAAAGAAGUACCCUAGCUGAUUACUGCCUGCUGGUGAACCACUGCCAGAGAAACUUUUUAUACAAAUAUAUGUAUGAGAGCAAAGAUUGCUCCGGCUGCUGCUUUUUUUUGUUGUUGUUGUUUUAUUCCUACAAUUGUUCAUUUCACAGUAUUCUGCAACCCUGACUGGACUUGUGGCCCUAUUGUGUUGCAUUCCCAAGCAGGUAUUUCCUGCAUCCAGACAUUUACAGUCAAAUUGAGGCAUUCAUGGAUGUGUGAAGGAGCAAGGGGGAAUAAAAUAAAAUAAUAAAAAAAAGGAUGCAUGCAUUGUUACAGCAAUCAGCUACGAAUAAGAAAUGUUUGAAGCCUUUUUGUUUUACAAUGACAAUGAUGAACGAGAUGUUACUAAUGUGAUAUUAAUCUCUGCUGCCUUAGUGUAUGAAGCCUGUUAUCUUGGAGCUGUUGGUAGAAAAGAGAGAGAAUAUCAAUCACCUUCAUGCUACUUCUGACAUAAGUAGGUAGCAAAUGCAAAGAAACUAUUUUCCUCUCAGUUUGGCUGUUAAACUCUGUGAGACAUAUGAGCUGAGAAAAGCACUUUGUUUUCACUGCAUCCUGUGGGUUAGAUUGAUUUCUGACUUUCGGCAGCAUGAGAAGGCAGGCCAACCUGUAGUCCAUUUGCACCAUGUAUCAACAAAGCUAGCUAAUUUAAAAAUUAGUCUGUAAUAAAAAGGAAUAAAAUGUAACGCAGAAAUAUGAAUCUUGUAUGUUCCCCAAAUACUUGUAGUGAUUCUAGAAAUAACACUUGACCUAACACUAACACAGUCGUUCUGUUUUUUGAAUAGCUGCUAUUAUAUUUCCCUGCAUUUCUGUUCUAUGUAUGUGUUCUAUAUGAACGAAUUGGCUGCUCCACCUGAUAUUUAUGACUGUAGACGUGCAUUAUACAUACAUACAGAAACAGAAUGAAAAUUUUCCUGAUCUGAGAUACAGAUAAGUCUUCCUUGAGAUUUUUAUUUGAUUCCCUAAACUGAAAUCAAAACUCAAACCAGCACUGCAGGCUGAGUGCUUUCUAAUGUUAUAGACCUGCUAUCAUGGAUCUUUAAUUGUAUAAAGUUUAACACAAAAAACCUGCUGUACAUUGUAGGCAUCUGCAGGAUGCCGAUUAAAUCAUCAUAUACCUUUAUAAGGACUGUAUCUGCAAAGAGCCGAUACCGAAUGGAAUGGGGCAUCUGCUGAUCCUGGGGCAGAGCUCAUUUGUGUGCAUUUAUCUGUGAGACAAUGUCACAUAACUUAUCACUCGUUUCAAAUAAUAAUAUUUUCUCUGAUCAAAUUCUCUCUCUUCUCUGCAUUUUCAAACGCUCUCACUCGAAGCUCCUAUUGACAGGAAAAGUAUUCGAUAUUAUUAAGGGCAGAUGAUCAACUGCAGUAUCUGUCUCCUGAUGCUUCACUCCACCAACAAGAAACUUGUGACAGAUGUUUCUAUGCUUUAUGCAAAUAGGAUCUUCAUGGAUCAGUUUUCCUUUCCUCCGUGGAAUAUAUGCAGCUGGAAAAUAGAAAUCCAGCUCCACGGCAUGAAGGAAAAAAAAAAAAAAA